UACGUAGGGGGCGAGCGUUGUCCGGAUUUAUUGGGCGUAAAGAGCUCGUAGGCGGUUCGAUAAGUCGGACGUGAAAUCUCCACGCUCAACGUGGAGGGGCCGUUCGAUACUGUCGUGACUCGAGUCCGGUAGGGGAGUGUGGAAUUCCCGGUGUAGCGGUGAAAUGCGCAGAUAUCGGGAGGAACACCCGUAGCGAAGGCGGCACUCUGGGCCGGAACUGACGCUGAGGAGCGAAAGCGUGGGGAGCAAACAGG
rnacentral:rRNA from 1 species